GAGGACAUCACAAAUAAUUUCUCUGAAGACAGAAAAAUAGGUCAUGGUGGAUUCGGAGCGGUUUACAGGGGUGUCCUCGGAACCCAGAACAUUGCUGUGAAGAAGAUUGUUGUGAACGAAUACACAGUCGAUGAGAGGCUAUUUCGUUGUGAGGUUGAUAGCCUGAUGACGAUCAAAAACCAUCCAAACUUAGUCCGGUUUCUGGGCUUCUGUUCUAAUAAAGCUCGUAUAGUGAAAGACAAGACAGGAUCAGAAGAAUCAUUUUACCCUCAAAUAAUGGAUAUAUUACUUUGUUUCGAGUAUAUCAGCAAUGGGAGCCUUGAUGAACAUAUUACUGAUGAAUUUCGAGGACUCACAUGGGAUAACCGUUUCGAUAUAAUAAAAGGAAUUUGUGAGGGUCUACGUUAUCUUCAUGAGGAUAAAUCUAUCAUUCAUAUGGAUCUGAAGCCAGCAAACAUACUACUUGAUGAUCAUAUGGUACCAAAAAUUACUGAUUUGGUCAGUCAAGAUUAG
rnacentral:rRNA from 1 species